rnacentral:rRNA from 14 species
GUUGACCUCGGAUCAGGUAGGGAUACCCGCUGAACUUAAG